AGUGAACGCUGGCGGUAGGCCUAACACAUGCAAGUCGAACGGCAGCACAGUAAGAGCUUGCUCUUACGGGUGGCGAGUGGCGGACGGGUGAGGAAUACAUCGGAAUCUACUUUUUCGUGGGGGAUAACGUAGGGAAACUUACGCUAAUACCGCAUACGACCUACGGGUGAAAGCAGGGGAUCUUCGGACCUUGCGCGAUUGAAUGAGCCGAUGUCGGAUUAGCUAGUUGGCGGGGUAAAGGCCCACCAAGGCGACGAUCCGUAGCUGGUCUGAGAGGAUGAUCAGCCACACUGGAACUGAGACACGGUCCAGACUCCUACGGGAGGCAGCAGUGGGGAAUAUUGGACAAUGGGCGCAAGCCUGAUCCAGCCAUACCGCGUGGGUGAAGAAGGCCUUCGGGUUGUAAAACCCUUUUGUUGGGAAAGAAAAGCAGCAGGUUAAUACCCCGCUGUUCUGACGGUACCCAAAGAAUAAGCACCGGCUAACUUCAU
rnacentral:rRNA from 1 species